rnacentral:rRNA from 1 species
UAGAGUUUGAUCCUGGCUCAGAUUGAACGCUGGCGGCAGGCUUAACACAUGCAAGUCGAGCGGUAACAGGGGGUGCUUGCACCCCGCUGACGAGCGGCGGACGGGUGAGUAAUGCUUAGGAAUCUGCCCAGUAGUGGGGGACAACAGUCGGAAACGGCUGCUAAUACCGCAUACGCCCUACGGGGGAAAGCAGGGGAUCUUCGGACCUUGCGCUAUUGGAUGAGCCUAAGUCGGAUUAGCUAGUUGGUGGGGUAAAGGCCUACCAAGGCGACGAUCCGUAGCUGGUCUGAGAGGAUGAUCAGCCACAUCGGGACUGAGACACGGCCCGAACUCCUACGGGAGGCAGCAGUGGGGAAUAUUGGACAAUGGGGGCAACCCUGAUCCAGCCAUGCCGCGUGUGUGAAGAAGGCUUUCGGGUUGUAAAGCACUUUCAGCGAGGAGGAAGGCCUUAAAGUUAAUACCUUUAAGGAUUGACGUUACUCGCAGAAGAAGCACCGGCUAACUCCGUGCCAGCAGCCGCGGU